rnacentral:lncRNA from 1 species
GAGUCCCCUCGCAAAGUCUCGCGGCAUUCCGAGUCCGGCAGACGAAGUUGGCCAGCCCCACACCCCAAGGCUAUAGCCCACCCAUUUUUGUGGCCUUUUUACGCUGGACGAACUUGGCGCCCCGACCUUCGUGCGGUUAUUUUUGGGCGCGGCUUUGUCCGCGGCCUAUUUUUGGCACACGGAGGCCCCUCGCUAAGUCUCGCGGCAUUCCGAGUCCGGCGGACGAAGUUGGCCAGCCCCACCCCCCAAGGCUAUAGCCCACCCGUUUUUGUGGCCUUUUUCCGCUGGACUAACUUGGCGCCCCGGCCUUCGGGCGGUUAUUUUUGGGCGCGGCUUUGCCCACGGCCUAUUUUUGGCAAACGGAGGCCCCUCGCAAAGUCUCGCGGCAUUCCGAGUCCGGCGGACGAAGUUGGCUAGCCCCACCCCCCAAGGCUAUAGCCCACCCGUUUUUGUGGCCUUUUUCCGCUGGACGAACUUGGCGGCCCGGCCUUUGUGCGGUUGUUUUUGGGCGCGGCUUUGUCCGCGGCCUAUUUUUGGCGGUUAAUUUUGGGCGCGGCUUUACCCGCGGCUUAUUUUUGGCACACGGAGGCCCCUCGCAAAGUCUCGCGGCAUUCCCAGUCCGGCGGACGAAGUUGGCUAGCCCCACCCCGCAAGGCUAUAGCCCACCCGUUUUUGUGGCCUUUUUCCGCUGGACGAACUUGGCGCCCCGGCCUUCGGGCAGUUAUUUUUGGGCGCGGCUUUGCCCGCGGCCUAUUUUUGGACACGAAGGGCCCUUCGCAAGUCUCGCGGCAUUCCGAGUCCGGCAGACGAAGUUGGCCAGCCCCACCCCCCAAGGCUAUAGCCCACCCGUUUUUGUGGCCUUUUUCCGCUGGACGAACUUGGCCCCCCGUCCUUCGGGCGGUUAUUUUUGGGCGCGGCUUUGCCCGCGGCUUAUUUUUGGCACACGGAGGCCCCUCGCAAGGUCUCGCGGCAUUCCGAGUCCGGCGGACGAAGUUGGCCAGCCCCACCCCGCAAGGCUAUAGGCCACCCGUUUUUGUGGCCUUUUUCCGCUGGACGAACUUGGCGCCCCGGCCUUCGGGCGGUUAUUUUUGGGCGCGGCUUUGCCCGCGGCCUAUUUUUGGAACAUGGAGACCCCUCGCAAGGGUUCGCGGCAUUCCGAGUUUGGCGGACGAAGUUGGCCAGCCCCACCCCCCAAGGCUAUAGCCGACCCGCUUUUGUGGCCUUUUUCCGCUGGACGAACUUGGCGCCCCGUCCUUCGGGUGGUUAUUUUCGGGCGCGGCUUUGCCCGUGGCCUAUAUUUGGCACACGGAGGCCCCUCGCAGGGUCUCGCGGCAUUCCGAGUCCGGCGGAUAAAGUUGGCCAGCUCCGCCCCCCAAUGCUAUAGCCCACCCGUUUUUGUGGCCUUUUUCCGCUGGACGAACUUGGCGCCCCGGCCUUCGGGCGGUUAUUUUUGAAGGCGGCUUUGCCCGUGGCCUAGUUUUGGCACACGGAGGCCCCUAGCAAGGCCUCGCUGCAUCCCGAGCCCGGCGGACGAAGUUGGCCAGCCCCACCCCCCAAGGCUAUAGCCGACCCGCUUUUGUGGCCUUUUUCCGCUGGACGAACUUGGCGCCCCGGCCUUCGGUGGUUAUUUUUGGGCGCGGCCUUGCCCACGGCCUAUUUUUGGUACACGGAGGCCCCUCGCAAGGUCUCGCGGCAUUCCGAAUUUGGCGGACGAAGUGGGCCAGCCCCACCCCCCAAGGCUAUAGCCCACCCGUUUUUGUGGCCUUUUUCCGCUGGACGAACUUGGCGCCCCGUCCUUCGGGCAGUUAUUUUUGGGCGCGGCUUUGCCCGCGGCUUAUUUUUGGCACAUGGAGGCCCCUCGCAAGGCCUCACGGCAUUCCGAGUCCCGCGGACGAAGUUGGCCAGCCCCACC